rnacentral:rRNA from 1 species
GAUGAACGCUGGCGGCGUGCCUAAUACAUGCAAGUAGAACGCUGAAGCUUGGUGCUUGCACCGAGCGGAUGAGUUGCGAACGGGUGAGUAACGCGUAGGUAACCUGCCUCUUAGCGGGGGAUAACUAUUGGAAACGAUAGCUAAUACCGCAUAAAAGUCGACAUCGCAUGAUGUUGACUUGAAAGGUGCAAUUGCAUCACUAAGAGAUGGACCUGCGUUGUAUUAGCUAGUUGGUGAGGUAACGGCGCACCAAGGCGACGAUACAUAGCCGACCUGAGAGGGUGGUCGGCCCCACUGGGACUGAGACACGGCCCAGACUCCUACGGGAGGCAGCAGUAGGGAAUCUUCGGCAAUGGGGGCAACCCUGACCGGGCAACGCCGCGGGAGGGAAGAAGGUUUUCGGAUCGUAAAGCUCUGUUGUAAGAGAAGAACGAGUGUGAGAGUGGAAAGUUCACACUGUGACGGUAACUUACCAGAAAGGGACGGCUAACUACGUG